GACGAACGCUGGCGGCGUGCUUAACACAUGCAAGUCGAACGGAAAGGCCCUGCUUUUGUGGGGUGCUCGAGUGGCGAACGGGUGAGUAACACGUGAGUAACCUGCCCUUGACUUUGGGAUAACUUCAGGAAACUGGGGCUAAUACCGGAUAGGAGCUCCUGCUGCAUGGUGGGGGGUGGAAAGUUUCGGCGGUUGGGGAUGGACUCGCGGAUUAGCAGCUUGUUGGUGGGGUAGUGGCGUACCAAGGCUUUGACGGGUAGCCGGCCUGGGAGGGUGACCGGCCACAUUGGGACUGAGAAACGGCCCAGACGCCUACGGGAGGCAGCAGUGGGGAAUAUUGCACAAUGGGCGGAAGCCUGAUGCAGCAACGCCGCGUGGGGGAUGACGGCCUUCGGGUUGUAAACCGCUAUCGCCUGUGACGAAGCGUGAGUGACGGUAAUGGGUAAAGAAGCACCGGCUAACUACGU
rnacentral:rRNA from 1 species